rnacentral:rRNA from 1 species
GAUGAACGCUGGCGGCGUGCCUAAUACAUGCAAGUCGAACGAAACUUCUUUAUCACCGAGUGCUUGCACUCACCGAUAAAGAGUUGAGUGGCGAACGGGUGAGUAACACGUGGGCAACCUGCCCAAAAGAGGGGGAUAACACUUGGAAACAGGUGCUAAUACCGCAUAACCAUAGUUACCGCAUGGUAACUAUGUAAAAGGUGGCUAUACUACCGCUUUUGGAUGGGCCCGCGGCGCAUUAGCUAGUUGGUAGGGUAAAGGCUUACCAAGGCAAUGAUGCGUAGCCGAAUUGAGAGGUUGAUCGGCCACAUUGGAACUGAGACACGGCCCAAACUCCUACGGGAGGCAGCAGUAGGGAAUCUUGCACAAUGGGCGAAAGCCUGAUGGAGCAACGCCGCGUGGGUGAAGAAGGUCUUCGGAUCGUAAAACCCUGUUGUUAGAGAAGAAAGUGCGUGAGAGUAACUGUUCACGUUUCGACGGUAUCUAAACAGAAAGCCACGGCUAACUACGUG